AUUGAACGCUGGCGGCAUGCCUUACACAUGCAAGUCGAACGGCAGCACGGGAGCAAUCCUGGUGGCGAGUGGCGAACGGGUGAGUAAAGCAUCGGAACGUGCCCAGUCGUGGGGGAUAACGUAGCGAAAGCUACGCUAAUACCGCAUACGAUCUGUGGAUGAAAGCGGGGGACCGUAAGGCCUCGCGCGAUUGGAGCGGCCGAUGUCAGAUUAGGUAGGUGGUGAGGUAAAGGCUCACCAAGCCGACGAUCUGUAGCUGGUCUGAGAGGACGACCAGCCACACUGGGACUGAGACACGGCCCAGACUCCUACGGGGGGCAGCAGUGGGGAAUUUUGGACAAUGGGCGCAAGCCUGAUCCAGCAAUGCCGCGUGCAGGAUGAAGGCCUUCGGGUUGUAAACUGCUUUUGUACGGAGCGAAACGGCUUCCACUAAUACUGGGGGCUAAUGACGGUACCGUAAGAAUAAGCACCGGCUAACUACGUGCCAGCAGCCGCCGUAAUAC
rnacentral:rRNA from 1 species